rnacentral:rRNA from 1 species
GACGAACGCUGGCGGCGUGCCUAAUACAUGCAAGUAGAACGCUGAAGCUUGGUGCUUGCACCGAGCGGCUGAGUUUCUAACUGGUGAGUAACGCGUAGGUAACCUGCCUGGUAGCGGGGGAUAACUAUUUGAAACGAUAGCUAAUACCGCAUAAGAGUAGAUUUUUCAUUACAUUUUCUUAAAAGGUGCAAUUGCAUCACUACCAGAUGGACCCGCGUUGUAUUAGCUAGUUGGUGAGGUAACGGCUCACCAAGGCAACGAUACAUAGCCGACCUGAGAGGGUGAUCGGCCACACUGGGACUGAGACACGGCCCAGACUCCUACGGGAGGCAGCAGUAGGGAAUCUUCGGCAAUGGACGGAAGUCUGACCGAGCAACGCCGCGUGAGUGAAGAAGGGUUUCGGAUCGUAAAGCUCUGUUGUAAGAGAAGAACGAGUGUGAGAGUGGAAAGUUCACACUGUGACGGUAUCUUACCAGAAAGGGACGGCUAACUACGUG